UUGAAAAGAAAAAAUCAUCGAUAAAAAUCGAUGAACAAACAUUUGUAGCAUACGUUCUGGCGCAUACCGCGCAGGCGCUAGUAAAAAUUGAUUGACUCGGGCUGUGUGUUUGGCCAAAAUGAAGUCCUUGGAAGCCGAGAAAUUUUGAUACAGCUGGUUCCGGACAACCCCACAUUUCCACUCACUGUCAAUGUCAACAGUUAAAGCUGGGCGUACCGAAAAUCAACUGAACCAUUCGUCAUGGACUUCGAGGAGGAGGGAAGUCACCAUGGAUUCGAUCAACAUAUGGCCACGUACAAUGUGGAGACCUCGGCGGUGCACAGGAAGCUACAGAGCAAGGUGGAGGCUCUGAGGAUCCUGCGCCAGGAGCUGGAGCAGUUCCGGGUGGAACGCGACCAGUACAAGCUGGUGGCGGAGACCCUGCAGCUGCGCUACUCGGCGCUCAAGAGCAACAGUGAGCUUCUGGCCGUGGGUGGAUGUGGAGCCCUCAGCGAGAACUCCAGCCUGGCCGCCCUGCUCCAUGAGACGCGGGAGCAGAACCUCAAGCUCAGUACCGAGGUGGAGGCACUGCGGCAGCGGCUAAACGAACUCCAGGGCGACAUGGAACUCCUCCGUGAGACGGAGGCCUGCAACAAGUCCCGCGUGCAGGCGAUGACCAGCGAGAACGCCGCCCGCAACAAGGAUGAGGUGCAGUGGCGCCGGGAGCGGGCCAACUUUAUUUGCCACCUGGAGGGACUUAAGAAGCGGAAUGCCCAGCUGGCCUUUGAUCUCAAGGCGGUCAUCGAUGAGAAGGAGGAGCUGAUCACCGAGCGGGAUGCCUACAAGUGCAAGGCACAUCGCCUCAAUCAUGAGCUCUUUGUGGCCCUCAGGGCCAAGAAAACGCACCCGAGACUCCUGGACAUCGAUGGCGUGUUGCUGGAGAACAAGUACCUGCAUGAACGUGUAAAGAUCCAAGAUAGCGAACUGGAACUUACCAAACAGAGCAUUACAAAGUACAAGGCCAUGCUAGAUCCUAAACGGAAAAAGGGGAUUGUAAAACUAGGAGGUGGCGGCACAAAUGAAGACACCAUACUAAGCCCUCGGCAAGUGAAAUCAAUCCUGGAAAGUGGCAUCGAUCUGCCUCAGAAAACGGAGAGCUUAAGCGACCUUAAAUCCUUGUGUCUGGCUUUGCUGGACAACCUGAACGACAAGAAUUUGGCUCUCUCACACCAGAAGAAGACCAACAAAAUACUGGCUGGCAAGAUGACCGAGCUGGAACAGCGAUGGCAGCAGCUCCUUUCCGAGAACGAUGAUAAUGCAGAAGGUGAGGGGGAGGACGAGGAGUACGGCUAUGCACCCUCCCAACUGCUCCUCAAUGGCUAUUGCGCCGCCAUGGUAGAUGAUGCCGACAUCAGCAGCACUCCGUCCAUUGCUCCAGAUAACGAAGGAGUGGUCAUUAUCCCAGAUCCCAGAGAUUCUGGGAAGCACAAGUCGGCAGAAGUCCUGCACUCGGACGAUGGAAUGUCCUCGCUUUCGACCGAGUCGGUGGAUUCGUCUGUGUACGGGGUGGACGUCCAGCCCGAAGACUUCCAGAAGUCUUCGUCCGCUACGACAGAUUCGGGUAACUGCGGUCUCAGCAGUCGCUGCACCGGCACACCGCGCAUCUCCAGUGCCGUGGCUCGGGAACGGAUGGAGGAUCUGAAGGAUUUGCCACCUCACCUGGCCACCCUCGUCCAGAAGGCACUCCACGAUCUGGACAUGCGGGACUACGAGGCUAUGGUUACGAUAAGGGCCGAGAAUCUGGCUGCUAUUCCUUAGAUAAAUACUAGUUCAAUUAAGGACUCUCGAAGAAAUAGAUGGAAACCAUAUCGCAGUGUUGGCAAAAGGAUAAACAUAUUUCUCUUUUUGGAUUUCAUGUUCUUACGGAUUUUCAAAUGAAUUAUUUAUAUUUUGUUUAAAUUGCGCGCCCAAUAAAUUUGUGUUAUCGAUUAAGGAUUAUUCAGAGUGUUGGAUAC